rnacentral:rRNA from 1 species
CGGCGGACGGGUGAGUAACGCGUGGGUAACCUGCCUCAUACAGGGGGAUAACAGUUAGAAAUGACUGCUAAUACCGCAUAAGACCACAGCACCGCAUGGUGCAGGGGUAAAAACUCCGGUGGUAUGAGAUGGACCCGCGUCUGAUUAGGUAGUUGGUGAGGUAACGGCCCACCAAGCCGACGAUCAGUAGCCGACCUGAGAGGGUGACCGGCCACAUUGGGACUGAGACACGGCCCAG